CAGCAGCCGCGGGAAUACGAAGGGUGCAAGCGUUAAUCGGAAUUACUGGGCGUAAAGCGUGCGUAGGCGGUGAGUUAAGUCUGCUGUGAAAUCCCCGGGCUCAACCUGGGAAUGGCAAUGGAUACUGGCAAGCUAGAGUGUGUCAGAGGAUGGUGGAAUUCCCCGUGUAGCGGUGAAAUGCGUAGAGAUCGGGAGGAACAUCAGUGGCGAAGGCGGCCAUCUGGGACAACACUGACGCUGAGGCACGAAAGCGUGGGGAGCAAACAGGAUUAGAUACCCCCGUAGUCCCUGUCUCUUAUAC
rnacentral:rRNA from 1 species